rnacentral:rRNA from 1 species
CUCGUAGGCGGUUGAGUAAGUCGGGUGUGAAAACUCUGGGCUUAACCCGGAGACGCCAUCCGAUACUGCUCUGACUAGAGUUCAGGGAGGGGAGUGGGGGAAUUCCUAGUGUAGCGGUGAAAUGCGCAGAUAUUAGGAGGAACACCGGUGGCGAAGGCGCCACUCUGGACUGAAACUGACGCUGAGGAGCGAAAGCAUGGGUAGCAAACA